UAAUAAACCAGCGAUCGCUUCUGGUCGUACGUCGCUGGUCGUUUUGCAAAAAAGUCCCCCUGUUUCUUAGAAAUUAACCCGCGCUCCUACUUAAAUUUGGAUAACGUUUCGUCUUUUUGCAUAAAACACCCUGCCUCCACUGAAUCGUCGUGCACGCCCCGCCGCUCGCUGCCGGCGCUGACUCCGCAGAGGCCAAGGCAGGGGAUGCGUCGCGGCGGGCGUAUGCGCCGCCCGGGCCGAGGAAUGGGGCGCUGCCGGCGCUGACUCCGCAGAGGCCAAGGCAGGAGAAUAGGGUUUCUGGUUGUCCGUCGUAGGGAGGCGGAUCCGGAGGCGGGGUCGCCGGUGACGACGGGCAAGGCCGGAGCACGGCUUGUCGGGCAGUCGCGGCUCAUGGGCAGAAAGAAGGCAAGGAGGUGAGGGAGAAAACAAGGGAGAAAGGAGGGGCGGGGCCGGCGACAGGAGGUCGAACGAGGCGGCGGCUUGCUGUAGCAGACAGCAGCGCGGUGCAGAGUGCAUCCGCGUCGGUUGUGGCCACGAGCGUCAUGGGGACGGAGGCGAGCGGCUCGGCCAUGGACUUCUAUACAUUGGAGGCCUCGCUGCAUCAAGUCAACAUGCAAAGGAUGGGACAGAACAAAGAAAUUAAUCCUGCAAGUGAAAAGAGGGAUUCAAGGAACAAAUAAAUCCAAUAAUAGGAGAUUACAAUCCGAAUCAUCAGAUGCUUGCAUGAAAAAUCCCAAUUUACAAUUGAGUCAGGUGGCAAAACUUGCGAAUACAAAAUAAAGGGGAGGACGGGCGCCAGCGGCCGACGAACUCGGAGGCGGCGGUGACGCGAGGACGCCCGGCUGUGGUAGCGGCCGCCAGGCUCCCUGCGUGCUCCCUGCCAAGGAAAAGAAAGAACUGAGAGGAAGAAGGAGAGAGCAGGGCAACGUGCGCGAGGACGAGGAAGGGGUGGAUCGGGCGCUGAGAGCGCGCGUGGAGGACGGAGGAGGGGAGGCGGCUCGGUGGUGGCCUCGAUCCCGAUCUGGAUCGAGCUGCGGGGGGCCUUAGAAACAGCGGCAGAUGUUGAGGAAGUGUGCUGCGUGGGAGUAGUUCUCUGCUUGACAGAGAGAUGGGGGAGAAAAAGAUAGGAAGAUAUGGGGUGAGCGACUGAGACGAGGAGGAGGAUGAGAAAACAGGAGGAGGAUGAGAACAGCGGUGCGUGGGGCCAGAUGACAGAGGCCGCCCGCUCGAGACGGCUGGUUUGUCUACAG
rnacentral:rRNA from 1 species